rnacentral:rRNA from 1 species
GCAUGAAGCUGGAAUCGCUAGUAAUCGCGGAUCAGAAUGCCGCGGUGAAUACGUUCCCGGGUCUUGUACACACCGCCCGUCACACCAUGGGAGUAGGUAAUGCCCGAAGUCGGUGACCUAACCGGAAGGAAGGAGCCGCCGAAGGCAGGACUUAUAACUGGGGUGAAGUCGUAACAAGGUAGC